GAAAGCAUGUCGAAAAGAUCAGUAGCAGUCUCAACUUUAGGAGGAUCAGCAAUUGCUGUGACCUGCUUUGCAGAUUCAGUGACUGCAAUUGGUUCUGUCGUCUGACUUGUUUGCUCUGGCCCUCUUGGAGGCAGAGGUAUACUGAAUCUAGCCGCAGGUAAGUCUUGCUUUGUGCUAGGGCGUUGUAGGCUUACCCUCUCGACAGAUGACCCACCGGAGUUACUAGCAUGCUCAAACCCACUUCUGUCAGAAUGUUUUUGUUGUUUCUCUGUGGCCCUUCUUUCUUGAAUCCUGGAAGUUGAUUUUUCUGUCUCCUUAGGGAUCCACCUCUUAUCUUCAUACUUUGCACGGAUGAAAUUUUCAAUAGCAACUCUAUCAUAAUUUGUAGGAACCUGUGCUUCCCAAUAACUAUUUGCCUUCUCGUUUCCCAUUGAUUGAAUAAAGGCAACUUGUUCAGGAAGCCAUGUAUCUAGUGUAGCUGAUCG
rnacentral:misc_RNA from 1 species